AAACCAUUACUAAGUUAGACUUGGCCUCCUGCCAUGAUCUAGCUUCAAGUAAUGGGAACCUGCAUUAAAACAAGUCAAGAACCAAUCCCUAGUUAACCAUAUAUACGCCUGAGUUCAGUACUCAUGUAGUGUUAGACACUUAGACUAUGCAAGUAUCAUUAGCCGAUCGACCAACAAUCAGAGAAGAACAUGAUCGGCCAACCAAUGAUACCGCAUAGCUUUAAUAUCCACCACCCUUCACAAGCAAUCACUCAAACACCGUCAGCAGAAGGGCGGAGGUGAUCCAAUCCCUUGGUUUUGUUGUUGUUGUGGAAGUACUCCUUCAUUCUCUCUAUAUAGUGAGCUUGAGGGUUGUUCUUCUCCAAACAUAGCUCCAUUAGGUCUGUGUAAUUCUCCAUUGCAUCGAGAGAAUCGUCAAUGAGUAGCUGAGGUCGAGGUUUUGGAUAGUCGCUGGUGAUUCAGACCUUGAAGCGGCAUUGUUUGAGGUUGUGUGAUGUUGUUUGAUCACAGUUUAACCAUGGAUUGGUUGAGGAGUUUCUUUUGUUUUUCAGUUGCCAUAGAGGAGAAUGUUACUAUACUCGCACAUCUAUAUAAUGUGAUUCGUUAUUGAUGACAAAAUAUUUUGUUAACCGAACCAAUAUAUAAGCAAAAUAGUUAUUGUAGUCGACAAUAUAGGAGGUGAUUUAGCUAUGAUGCCAAAAUGUUAUUUAGAUAUACCUAUUACAUAAUUUUUUAGGGAAAAUCCAUUUUUAAAUAUGAAACUUGAAAAGAAAUUAUGAAUUCUAUUUUAAUAAAAUAGAUUAGAUAUCUUUUAUCUUUACCUAUAAUUUCUACAUCACAACAUAUAUAAUCAACAUAGCGUAACAAAACCUUGCAUGAAAAAAAAAUAUGGAAAAGUAAAUAUAAGAAACAAAGAUUUUAGACAUAAGUAUCCCACAUCGGGAAUUUUAAGAGACAUUAAAUAAUAUAUAAAUGGUUAAAGUCAAUCCACUAAUUCUUAAUUGGUUUUAAGUUGGAAGCCAUAAAACUUAUCAUGAUAUCAGAGCGGGUCUAAUAUCCUGACCCAUUAAUCCGGCCCGAAAAGUGGCCCGGUCAUCCCACGAAUUGAUGGCCCAAUGAAAAGCUCAAUUUCUUCGAGAUAGCUAGAAAAGAGCAUUAUCUCGGAGGGGUAUUGUAGCACCCCCGAAUCGUCCUAGACAUAAGUCGACCCAGCCAACAAUCAAACAAGAACAUGACCGAUACACGACCCACACCAAGGGUUGGAGAUGAAAGGCCAACCGGCCAGCCAACAAUCAAACAAGAACAUGACAUACCGCCCAACCCAACACCAUGGUCCGGAAGCGCUACGUGACGGGUUAGGGACGAUCCGGUUAGAGUCACAAAAUUUACUCCACGACCUAGAUCCGUUCAUCCACUAACUCGUCCCGCUGCGUCAAGGCACAAGGCUUUGCAACCCGUACCUAGAGUUAGCGUUUUUCGUUAGAUCGAGGCCUAAAGCUUUUCAACCAGUACCACAACCUAACGUUGUGUUAGACCGGACUAGUCAAAUAUCAGAGUACUCAUGAAUCGCAUAUAAAACAAUUACUUUUAUUGAUUUAGGAAAUAUUCAUACAUGGAAUAAUUCAAGACUGGGCCCGGUCUAAUGCCAAAUCGAGUCAACUAAACCAUAAAAGGCUUUGCAACCCGUACCUAGAGUUAGCGUUUUUCGUUAGAUCGAGGCCUAAAGCUUUUCAACCAGUACCACAACCUAACGUUGUGUUAGACCGGACUAGUCAAAUAUCAGAGUACUCAUGAAUCGCAUAUAAAACAAUUACUUUUAUUGAUUUAGGAAAUAUUCAUACAUGGAAUAAUUCAAGACUGGGCCCGGUCUAAUGCCAAAUCGAGUCAACUAAACCAUAACACAAUACCGUUUAUAAAAGGCAUGAAAAUCUACACCGGCGGUCCUAACGUCUAGCACCAAGCUAUCCGAUCAUCCUUACCUAAAGCGACCUGCAAAAAGGACAACAGAGUUAGAUGAAUAAUCUAGUAUUACACAGUGAGCUGGCGGCCUCUACUCGCAACCUAGACUCUAACCCAGACAACCCAAAAUAACAAUCAAUCUAGCCCUAGCAUGCAAUAUAAACUAAGGCUAAGCAAACCAUUACUAAGUUAGACUUGGCCUCCUGCCAUGAUCUAGCUUCAAGUAAUGGGAACCUGCAUUAAAACAAGUCAAGAACCAAUCCCUAGUUAACCAUAUAUACGCCUGAGUUCAGUACUCAUGUAGUGUUAGACACUUAGACUAUGCAAGUAUCAUUAGCCGAUCGACCAACAAUCAGAGAAGAACAUGAUCGGCCAACCAAUGAUACCGCAUAGCUUUAAUAUCCACCACCCUUCACAAGCAAUCACUCAAACAUAUACAUGCCAAUAUCAGGCCUAGCAUGGGCAGGUUACGCACAUACUGUCGGCAACACUCACACAACACAAACUCAAUCUAGAACCUAACCUAAGGCUAAAGUUCCAGAUCCUAACUAGACACUCGACUCUACAAGAGUAACCAAUAGUACCAGUAUUCCGGCCUAUAUGGCCUAAGACCAUUGACACCAACAAUUAAACAAUAAUAUUAAUACUAAACAACUCAAUCAAACCGUUACCCAGAUAGUUCAGCCUCCUGCUAUGAAAUUAUCUUUAAAGAUAACGGGAACCUGCACUCAACCAUAUCAAUACACAAGAAUAGAAAACAU
rnacentral:lncRNA from 1 species